rnacentral:rRNA from 1 species
AUAUUGGACAAUGGGUGGAAGCCUGAUCCAGCCAUCCCGCGUGUAGGAUGACGGCCUUAUGGGUUGUAAACUACUUUUAUCUGGGGAUAAACCUACUUACGUGUAAGUAGCUGAAGGUACCAGAAGAAUAAGCACCGGCUAACUCCGUGCCAGCAGCCGCGGUAAUACGGAGGGUGCAAGCGUUAUCCGGAUUUAUUGGGUUUAAAGGGUCCGUAGGCAGAUUAAUCAGUCAGUGGUGAAAUCCCUUAGCUUAACUAAGGAACUGCCAUUGAUACUGUUAGUCUUGAGUGAGGUUGCAGUGGCUGGAAUGUGUAGUGUAGCGGUGAAAUGCUUAGAUAGUACGCAGAACACCAAUUGCGAAGGCAGGUCACUAAGCCUCAACUGACGCUGAUGGACGAAAGCGUGGGGAGCGAACAG